AUGUCUGCUUUAUUGAAUAUGCCAAAGCCUUUGACUGUGUGGAUCACAAUAAACUGUGGAAAAAGUCUGAAAGAGAUGGGAAUACCAGACCACCUGACCUGCCUCUUGAGAAACCUAUAUGCAGGUCAGGAAGCAACAGUUAGAACUGGGCAUGGACCAACAGACUGGUUCCAAACAGGAAAAGGAGUACGUCAAGGCUGUAUAUUGUCACCCUGCCUAUUUAACUUAUAUGCAGAGUACAUCAUGAGAAAUGCUGGACUGGAAGAAGCACAAGCUUCUCCCGGAAUCAAGAUUGCCAGGAGAAAUAUCAAUAACCUCAGAUAUGCAGAUGACACCACCCUUAUGGCAGAAAGUGAAGAGGAGCUAAAAAGCCUCUUGAUGAAAGUGAAUGAGGAGAGUGGAAAAGUUGACUUAAAGCUCAACAUUCAGAAAACGAAGAUCAUGGCAUCUGGUCCAGUCACUUCAUGGGAAAUAGAUGGGGAAACAGUGGAAACAGUGUCAGACUUCAUUUUUCUGGGCUCCAAAAUCACUGCAGAUGGUGACUGCAGCCAUGAAAUUAAAAGAUGCUUACUCCUUGGAAGGAAAGUUAUGACCAACCUAGAUAGCAUAUUGAAAAGCAGAGACAUUACUUUGCCAACAAAGGUCCGUCUAGUCAAGGCUAUGGUUUUUCCUGUGGUCAUGUAUGGAUGUGAGAGUUGGACUGUGAAGAAAGCUGAGCGCCGAAGAAUUGAUGCUUUUGAACUGUGGUGUUGGAGAAGACUCUUGAGAGUCCCUUGGACUGCAAGGAGAUCCAACCAGUCCAUUCUGAAGGAAACCAGUCCUGAUUGUUCACUGGAAGGACUGAUGCUGAGGCUGAAACUCCAAUACUUUGGCCACCUCAUGCGAAGAGUUGAUUCAUUGGAAAAGAUCCUGAUGCUGGGAGGGAUUGGGGGCAGGAGGAGAAGGGGACAACAGAGGAUGAGAUGGCUAGAUGGCAUCACUCACUCAAUGGACAUGAGUUUGGAUGCUGUAUGA
rnacentral:lncRNA from 1 species